CCGACCUCAUUGGUCAAAAAAAAGUACUGUACCCCCUUCCCCACACACGAGGCCUACCGUGGCCCACCGGCCGCAGGCGCCAUCCUUGCCUCUUCCCGGCUCCGCGACCGCCGCCGCGACUGCUACCGCCGGGCCGCCGAGUCUGCCGCGUGGAGCUGCCAACGCAGGGAGCUAUGGCCGCCGCAUCUCGUGUGCCGCCUUCCCCAGGUGUGUUUAUGCUGCUACCCUUCUGCCUGCAUCUGUGAUUCCAAUGAUACUAUGAUAGCCCAAUUCCGAUUCUGCAGUUUAUUGUUCUCCAUCAGAUUUAUGUUCCCUGUGCUGUGACUGUGAUGUCAUAGUAGUUGGUGGCUUCCUGUUGUAGUGCCUCUUCCUCAACUGUCAUUGUGUGUAAGCUGUUAGAUUUAAUCUUGGUCGUAUAUUUUGCUUACCAAUUGGCAUGGGAAUGAAUAUACACAGAUUUAUUUCACAUAUAUUCCUACGAAUAACACUGGGUUUAGCUUACUGCUGAAUUUACUUCCUAAUUACAAUGGUUCUACCAACAACAUAUGAGACUGAGAUUGUUCAUAAAAACUUACUAUUUCUUAGGUUCAAUCUGCAAGUAUUAGCACGUGUGUUUGUUUAUAAUCGAGGAAUUAAUCAAUUCUGCCUCCACACACGGCAAACACACCAUUGAUUGACAACUAACAUUGUCUCUGGCCUACCACCAGCGGUGGCAGCAAUGCAACUCCAUGUCCUACUCUAAUUUCGUUGUCUUACGUACCAGUGGGUUUCAGAACAGCCAGUAUAUCAUGUCACGUAAAAAAUAACAGAUUACUUUGGCACUUUAACAUAGAGGUUGUGUAGACUUCUUCUCUCUGGCCCAGCUCUGCUUUUGUUCAAACCAUCUCUGUUUGCUGCAGACCAAUUUUCAUAAAUCACACAUACAAAUGAGUUUAGAGCAUAUUCUUUUUUAUUUUCUUGAAAUUCAAAUGUGACUGGCUAAAUUCAGUACAACGGUGUUUACUUAGACUGGAAAAAGAAGGUAUAGUGCAUAAUCUAGAUCCAGUAAAAAAGAUAGCCACCUGUCACCUGAAAUGGAAGCAGUGACAUGGAGAUGCUCAUUCCAUUUCUUAAGGCUGCAUCUCACUAACGCUGCUGUUGGGCCUCAUUUUGAUAUUGCAACCUCUCACCAGUCAUCCAUAUACGCAUCAAGGCAACCGAUUUUGAUUUUGUUGGCCAUGUUGUUUCUGCAAAUAACUUUACAGAUUCAUCUUGUGACUUGAUCUGUCCUCUAGCUGUAGGCUUGAUUUGGUUAUUUCAAAAUUCCUAUGGAGAUUUACUUUGACAUGGGUUAUUGUUUCUUUAAAUUUAUACAGUCAUGCAUUUGCUCUCUAAUUGACACCAAAUUUUAUCUUCAGGAUGAAAUUCAAUAGUCUGAAUAUGUUUGUCCCAAACUCUUAACUCUGAACAUGUUGUCUCAGGCAAAACCAAAAUCGGUUGCCUUGCCUACGAAGGUGUCUGAACAUGGCAGGUCAACACUCUCAGUCAGUUGCAACUGUUGGUAUGGAUUGAUGAUUUCUUACGUAAAGAAAUCUUGGAUCUCUUCUUUAUGAAAAAAUUCAAAUUAAUACAACUUUUCUCGACAAUGUCUUAACAGAAGUUACUCAACCAUGUUAAUCUUUGUGCAUUACAUCUUUUAGUAAUUAUCUUACUUGAUCCCUUCUUCGUGUACAAAUGGGCAACCUAGAAGGUAAAAUGUGUAACAAAAUGUAGCUCAACAGAAAUAUUAGUUGACAUUGCAAUAUGUCAUUGUUUCCCUGGCUCUAAUGAGUUUGAUCAAGUUCCAGUAAGACACAUUUAUGUGGUAUUUAAAGUUGUGUCUUCCUCUUUUCCAGUAAAUAGCCUUAAAUACAGUAUUGUAUUUUAUAGAAUCUAUCUCUCUGACUAUAUAUUGCAUAAUUAGUAUACAAUUUCUAGAGAUGAAAAAUAUUUGAUCUAUUUCAAUUAACUGCUUGGUUUGUUACAUGAUUUGGUAGGAUAUUUGAAGACAUGACCCUGCUAUAAUAAUCUUCCAACCAUAGUUUCGCAAUCAGCUCAAGAACUCUACCAUCAAAUUGAUACAUGGUUUGGCAAAUAACCAAGGACUCUACCAUUAGGUUGAUAUGUAUGUUCUUCUCUCUUUGUAUUCUGAGCUCUUUUACGCUACAAGUUAAUCCAGGCUUUUAUUACCUGAUUACUGUUAUCAGGGAUGGGAAGAAGAAUUAUUAACAACUAAAAAACGAGAGAAACGAGUCCCCGAAGAAAGUGGCCAAAUGCUACUAUUAUCUGUGCCUAUGUUUUCAAGGCGUCGCCUAGGCGACGCCUAGGCGUCAGAGCGCUCGGAGAUGGCAAGGCGUCCGCUUUGUGCUGUUGAGGCGUCCAGGGUGUCGCCUAGGCGGAGAAGGAGGCGCUUCGAUCGAUUCUGGACGCCCUGGUCCCGUGCGGGCAUGUCGGGCGGGAAACAGGUGCUGGCGCGCGCGGGAACCAGAGUUGGCGGGAGGGAAAUGAAUUGGGCGGGAGAGAGAGAUUAAGCAGAGGCAGGAGAGAGAGGGGAACACACCUACAGCUCCAGAUCGAGGGGAAAAGAGAGAGGAGCUCUCUCCUCUCACGCCGCCGGCCCAGAUCCGCUCCUCCUCCGCCGGCCUUCCCCUCUCCGGCCAAGCUCCUCCUCCGCAGGCCCUUCCCCUCUCCGGCCAAGAUCCUCCUCCGCCAGCCCUCCCCCUCUCCGGCCAAGCUCCUCCUCCCCCGGCAGCCCUCUCCCAAGUCCCACAAUGGCAGAUGCAGGAGCUGAUGGGAAUGGUGAUGCUUAUGAUCCAAUGAAAGAUCCAGAACGCAGGCCGAAGAGGUCAACUGAUCCGGGCUGGAAUUAUGGGUAUUGGUUGAAAGUUGGCAACAUCAAUAAUGUUGUAUGCAAUCUUUGUGGCAAGAUAACUUCUGGAGGGAUCAAGAGACACAAAGUGCAUCUUGCUGGCACAGGUGGGGAUGCAACAGGUUGUCCAAAGGCUACCACACAACUUAGGAGGGAGAUGUUAGAAUAUUUGGAAAAGAACAGGAGAAACAUAGGACAGCCAGAUGAUGAUGAUGAUGUAGUGGAGGUAGAUGCAGCAGGGACAGUUCAAAGCUCCACUAAUGAAGCAACAGCUCAAUGCUUCGCUACAAGACCAAGUUCAGGGACAGCAGCCAAGAAGAACAAGAAAGCCUUUGCAGUAAAAAUAUCAGGCAAAAAGUGUCAAUCUGUUGCUCUCAAGUCAAUUGUUUCCAUGCUUAGGAAAAAACCUGAGGAUGUUGUCGAUGAAAGACGCUCUGGUUGCUCUCAAAGCACCAUGGAGUCCAGCACAAAAACACCGGAAGAGAGGCACUAUGUGAGUAUGCAGUGGGCAUUGUUUUUCUAUGAGUGUGGCAUUCCUUUCAAUGUUGCAAGCUGUAGGCAAUUCCAGAUUGCAAUAGAAGCCUCUUGUCAAUAUGGCCCAGGUUACAAGCCUCCUUCUCCUCAUGAGCUGCGGGAGCCAUUGCUUAGGGAUUGUGUCAAGGAAACAAAAAAGUUGAGGGUGAAGCACGAGGUAGCAUGGAAGCAAUAUGGCUGCACACUAAUGUCAGAUGGCUGGUCCGAUAAAAGGGGACGCCACUUGAUCAACUUCCUUGUAAACAGCCCGGCGGGCACUUACUUCUUGGAGUCGGUUGAUGCAUCAAGUGAAUGCCAAGAUGCUCGGAUGAUAGCAGAUUUGCUAGAGAAGAGAAUCGAGGAUGUCGGUAAAGAGUAUGUUGUCCAAGUUGUCACCGACAAUGGUGCUAACUACAAGGCAGCGGGCAAGAUACUAAUGGAAAGGAUUCCUACACUAUAUUGGAGUCCAUGUGCAUGCCAUUGCUUGGACCUGAUGUUGGAAGAUAUAGGGAAGCUAAAGCCAUUUAAGAGGCCUAUUGCACGGGGUAGACGAGUCACCACUUUCAUCUAUAGGCAUGGCAGAAUUCUUAGUCUAAUGAGGAAGGCAACGGGUGGGCAGGAUCUUGUGAGACCCGCAGCCACUCGUUUUGCCACAUUCAUUCUUGCUCUUAAGAGUUUGGUCAAGCACAAGCAAGCAUUGAGGAGUCUAUUUACAUGUCAAGCAUGGGUUGGAAACAAAUUGGCCAAAACUGCAACCGGUUUGAAUGUGCAAGACAUUGUGCUUUCAGCGGAUUGGUGGCAUGCAAUUGAGGCCUGCCUUAGAGCUUCAGGUCCACUACUUCGAGUGCUUAGGGUAGAGGAUGGUGAUGAGAUUCCUGCCAUGCCAGAAAUGACAGCACUAAUGAGGUUUGCAAAGGAGAGGAUCAAUCAAGGUUUUCCCCACCAAAACAAGCAAGCUUUGCUCAAGAAGAUCAUGGACAUUGUUGACAAACGUUGGGUGAAUCAAAUGGAUCAUCCAUUGUAUGGGGCUGCUUUGUUUUUGAACCCUGGAAAGUUCUUCUCUAUUGUCAAGAGUGGUGAUGAUGCCCUAGUUGGGGAGCUAAGAAGUUGCUUUAAUGAUGUCCUUGCAAAAAUGGUACUUGAUGUACAAACUCGCAAGAAGAUUGAUACACAAUCUGUUCUCUAUGAGGACCAGCGAGAUACCUUUGCUAAUUUGAUGGCAAUCCAAAACAUUUCAGAAAAAAAACCUCUUGAUUGGUGGCGUUCAUAUGGUGGUCGAGCAAUUGAGCUACAAAGGUUUGCAAAGCGUAUUGUUAGUCUUUGUGCUUCAUCAUCCGGUUGUGAGAGGAAUUGGAGCACAUUUGAAUUUAUCCAUACCAAGAAAAGGAACCGGUUACAACACCGAAUCUUGAAUGACAAUGUCUUUGUUUCAUACAACCGGAAGAACUUGGAUAGGUUUCAAAAGAGGCGUGAGAAGAUGGGUGGCACAAGCUAUGACCCUCUAGUCAUUGAGGAUUUUGAUUGGGGCAAUGAGUGGGUUGACCCAACAAUACCUCCACCCCAAGGUGCUCGAGGGUGUCCCGAUGACAUUUCAUGGGAGCUUGUUGAUGAGGCUGUUGGUGCAAGUUCGUCGCUGCAAGGUCGCAACUUUCCUAGAGCUAGCACCAUGGCAAGGGGGGGCUCAAAUGUUAAUGUCCACUACCAAAGGCAGCGCAAAAGGGCUGCUCCGUCAUCAACAUUUGUUCAUGAAGAUGACGAAGAGGAUGACCAAGAACAACAGUCAAGUAUCCCCAAUGGAGAGGAUGAUGAUUCAGACUUUCUUCAAGAUGAUGUUGAUAUGACCGAUGAUGAUGAAGAUCCAACUAGUGCUGACCAAGAUGGCGAAGACAACACAAAUGCUACCAUGAAUGAGUUCGAUGAUGACUAUUGAGAAUUGAAUUUCUAUUGUGGAAGGAAGAAAUGGGAAACAAGAUGGGAGGAACGGAUGCUAUGUGGGCUCAACAACCAGGAAAUUCAAGAAUGGUUAGCUAGCAUCAAACAGGAGAAUACUUUCUAAGGUAAGAGAUAUGAGGCACAAUGUAUAAACUAUGAAAGGAAGUUGCAGCAGCGCCGUUGUACUGUUUUUAGACAUGCACUGUAUUUUUGCACACACGAGUCAGCAAGCGUUGUAAUUUUUGAGUUGUGACCUAUGCAUUGCCAGUUUCAACAGAAAUAAGAAUAUUCUACGAAUGAUUGUCGGCUAAUUUUGAUUUCUUCUUUGCUUUUGAUAUACUAGCACUCAUUGAAACGUGCAGCCAAAGCGGGCGCGGUGUCAGCGCGCCACCCUGCCUAGUGUAUCUCAUAGGUGCAGGCUUUGCUACUACAUGGGUGUUUUCUGGCUUUUUUAAAUAUAUUUAUAUUAAUAUAAGUCACGGUUGACUUUUCAAGUUAUCAUUUAUUUUGUUGUGAUUUGAUUUAUUACCAAAGUUAAUACAAGCAUGAAUGAUUUGUAAUUUUAUGUACUAGCCAAUCGACCCGUGCUUUCGCACGG